rnacentral:rRNA from 1 species
GACGAACCGUGCGAACGUUAUUCGGAAUCACUGGGCUUAAAGGGUGCGUAGGCGGCUUGUUAAGUAGGGUGUGAAAUCCCCCGGCUCAACCGGGGAAUUGCGCCCUAAACUGGCGAGCUGGAGUGAGAUAGGGGUGUGUGGAACUUCCAGUGGAGCGGUGAAAUGUGUUGAUAUUGGAAGGAACGCCAGUGGCGAAAGCGACACACUGGGUCUCAACUGACGCUGAGGCACGAAAGCCAGGGGAGCAAACGGG